GAAACUCACCCCCUCCCCUGUCUUUUAACUUGUGCUUUCGUUUUCAAAACCCACAUGGAAACCCAUUUCCUAUUUCUUGUUUCUUCUUCGAUUAAAAACCUGCGACCCUCUUCUUUAGCUGAGUCUUUCGUUUUCUGUUAGUAAUCGAGUCUAGUCUGUUAUGCUUGUUGGUUGUCGUCUUUGUUUGCUUUCUUUCGAUUUCGUUUUCGCCGAGUCAAAUGCCUGAGUAGUCAGUCUGUUUCUGGAUUGUAUUUUGCCGAUUUGCAGCGUUUAUUUGUGUUGGUUUUGCUCAGCGUCGAGUCCUGUUGAAUGCUUGUUUUGUUGAGUAUGAGUCGUAGCUGAGUCGCCGAGUUCAGGUGGUCUGUCUUUGUCCUAGUCUGUCGAGUGUUUCAUUGCUUCCUGUAGUCGAGUUUUGGCACCGAGUCGUGUGUUUGCUGCUCCGAUUUGUUGAGGCUGCGUCUUUUGUUUAUGUCGAGUUAUUCUGGCUUAAGUUUGCUUUCUUUCGUUAGUUUUUGUUGCUGGAUUCUACUAUCAGGUUUAUUAGUAUAGUUUUGUGUCUGAGUUAAUGCUGCUGUUGGGUGUUGGUUUAAUCUGGCUUCUUAAAUCGAGUCUAUUCUUGCUGUGUUUAAGUCGAGUAGCUGUUCAUUCGGCCGAGUUUGAUUUAUGCUGAGUUUUAAUAGGGUCAUUUGAUGCUGAGUUGUUUGGCUGCUCUUUUAUUUAGUAAGUUUGUAUUGCUUUCUUGAGUUUGUUUCUUUUCUUUUUGUCGUCUUCUUAUCAAGUCACCUCCUGGAAGUUUUCAUUUUCUUUUGUUUUUUUUUGUGUUUUGCCGUAUGAUUGUUUCAUUUUCUGGUCAGUAAAGUAUGCUUAACUAAUUUUAGUUUAUUUAGUUAGUUAAUCUUGGUAAUAAAUUUUGGUUAACUACAUUAUUCUCGCACUUUAAUUUUAUAAAAAUUAGUUUUCAAAAUUAGUUUAAUAAGAAAACCCCCCCAUUUUCAAAACUUAAAAUUCCUAAUUCGCCUAGGUUAAUAAUAAAAGGAUUUGUGAAAGUUAAUUUUAAUCUCUGUGGAUCGAAUUAUAAAUAUUAAAACGGUGAUCGUGCGCUUGCGAUUAAUAAAUGUAAUAUUUCAAGCACAUCAGUCAUAUCUUUCUUUAAGAAUUUGGUCUUAAAUAUAGGUCUUAAUCUGUGAUUUUGUUCGGAUUGUAUUAAUUAUAUUAGUUUGGUUCACUAUAAUUUAAAUAUUAUUAUAUAUAUAAUUAUUAUCAAUUAAAUAUAUUAUUUUAAUAUGAUAACAAAUUAUAUAGAUUGGUUAAAUAUGAUUAGAUGUUUAUAGUCAAUCUACGCAACUUUAAGAUGUUGGCUAAAAUUAUAUACAACACCAUUAUUUUCACUAGAAGUUCAAUCUUUUUUACCUAAUCUUCAUACUUAUUAUUUAUAACAUGUAUAAAUUAUAUUUAACUAAGAAUUUUACAAAGUUCUAAUUUUUACCUAUGAAAAAGAGAUCAAUACCACUGAGAUCUUUUCUUUUGUCUCAUUUCUUACAUUAAUAUAAUUUUUAAUACUAUUUUUAUAAGAUCUUAAUACAUGUCAUAUCUUUCUUUAAGAACGUGGUCUUAAAUAUAAGUCUUAAUCUGUGAUUUUAGUUUUACAAGGGUACAUUUGUUAAAUGUUAUACGGAAAAAUAAUGCAUACUAGCUUGAAGUAGGUUGAAACAAGGAGAGUAUAGGUUGAAAUAAUGCGGUUGUGCUAGAAAUUGAAAUGCUGUUGGUUUGUAACGGUGUCAAUGCAUUCAUGAGUUUAUUUAUGUACCUUGCAGGAAUACUGUACCUUGUAGGAAUGUAUGUACUUAAUUAGCAAAUUGACGUGUAGUUGUGUAGGAUGGUAAAAGCAUCAUUUUGCUAGCUAGCUAGCUGUCUGUUUCUAAUUAGAUGAAAAGAAAUCUGAAUGUUUAGCUUCUUAGCUUUUGUCAAAGAAUAUGAAUGCCGCACCACCAAGUUGUAUGUUGCCUUAUUUAGACAAGGUAAACUUUCUCUACCUAACAGUUUUUUUUUCCUUUUGGCGGUUGCAGAGUUUACUUUUCUUUUUCAUUUUUUCAUGUAGACAAUUUGCAAGACUGCAGGGAAUAUUGCAAAGCCUAUUAUCGCUGAACAAAUUCCGAAGUAUAUAAUCGAGGCAUAAGACCUUAUGCAUGGCUGUAUGUAAUGCCAAAUAAAAUAGUUAAGUAUCACUUGCAUAUCAUCCUUGUCUCUCAAAACAAUAAUAAAAUAAAAAAUUUCCUGAAAAACAUCUAAAAGCUAUAUAACUAGAUUUUGACCGCCCAUUCGCCACUGUCAAACGUAAGCUCAAGACUCGCAUAGCUAAGAACUUAACCAUAUGCGAAGGUCUAUAUCUUUGACUUAUAUUAUUAUUUACUAAAUGAUAUAAAUAAAAGAUGAAUAAACCAUAAGGAUAUCAGACAACAGCCAUUCUUUUAAUUUUACUUAUACAGUCCAUCAACUUUUAAUUUUGUCAAGGCAGUAGGUGCAAACUUUAAAGCUGAGGUGCCUUCUUUUAGCAUGUUUUUAACUAGAUUUAGGGCUCCUAGCAUGNGUUUCAUUGCUUCCUGUAGUCGAGUUUUGGCACCGAGUCGUGUGUUUGCUGCUCCGAUUUGUUGAGGCUGCGUCUUUUGUUUAUGUCGAGUUAUUCUGGCUUAAGUUUGCUUUCUUUCGUUAGUUUUUGUUGCUGGAUUCUACUAUCAGGUUUAUUAGUAUAGUUUUGUGUCUGAGUUAAUGCUGCUGUUGGGUGUUGGUUUAAUCUGGCUUCUUAAAUCGAGUCUAUUCUUGCUGUGUUUAAGUCGAGUAGCUGUUCAUUCGGCCGAGUUUGAUUUAUGCUGAGUUUUAAUAGGGUCAUUUGAUGCUGAGUUGUUUGGCUGCUCUUUUAUUUAGUAAGUUUGUAUUGCUUUCUUGAGUUUGUUUCUUUUCUUUUUGUCGUCUUCUUAUCAAGUCACCUCCUGGAAGUUUUCAUUUUCUUUUGUUUUUUUUUGUGUUUUGCCGUAUGAUUGUUUCAUUUUCUGGUCAGUAAAGUAUGCUUAACUAAUUUUAGUUUAUUUAGUUAGUUAAUCUUGGUAAUAAAUUUUGGUUAACUACAUUAUUCUCGCACUUUAAUUUUAUAAAAAUUAGUUUUCAAAAUUAGUUUAAUAAGAAAACCCCCCCAUUUUCAAAACUUAAAAUUCCUAAUUCGCCUAGGUUAAUAAUAAAAGGAUUUGUGAAAGUUAAUUUUAAUCUCUGUGGAUCGAAUUAUAAAUAUUAAAACGGUGAUCGUGCGCUUGCGAUUAAUAAAUGUAAUAUUUCAAGCACAUCAGUCAUAUCUUUCUUUAAGAAUUUGGUCUUAAAUAUAGGUCUUAAUAUGUGAUUUUGUUUGGAUUGUAUUAUUUAUAUUAGUUUGGUUCACUAUAAUUUAAAUAUUAUUAUAUAUAUAAUUAUUAUCAAUUAAAUAUAUUAUUUUAAUAUGAUAACAAAUUAUAUAGAUUGGUUAAAUAUGAUUAGAUGUUUAUAGUCAAUCUACGCAACUUUAAGAUGUUGGCUAAAAUUAUAUACAACACCAUUAUUUUCACUAGAAGUUCAAUCUUUUUUACCUAAUCUUCAUACUUAUUAUUUAUAACAUGUAUAAAUUAUAUUUAACUAAGAAUUUUACAAAGUUCUAAUUUUUACCUAUGAAAAAGAGAUCAAUACCACUGAGAUCUUUUCUUUUGUCUCAUUUCUUACAUUAAUAUAAUUUUUAAUACUAUUUUUAUAAGAUCUUAAUACAUGUCAUAUCUUUCUUUAAGAACGUGGUCUUAAAUAUAAGUCUUAAUCUGUGAUUUUAGUUUUACAAGGGUACAUUUGUUAAAUGUUAUACGGAAAAAUAAUGCAUACUAGCUUGAAGUAGGUUGAAACAAGGAGAGUAUAGGUUGAAAUAAUGCGGUUGUGCUAGAAAUUGAAAUGCUGUUGGUUUGUAACGGUGUCAAUGCAUUCAUGAGUUUAUUUAUGUACCUUGCAGGAAUGCUGUACCUUGUAGGAAUGUAUGUACUUAAUUAGCAAAUUGACGUGUAGUUUUGUAGGAUGGUAAAAGCAUCAUUUUGCUAGCUAGCUAGCUGUCUGUUUCUAAUUAGAUGAAAAGAAAUCUGAAUGUUUAGCUUCUUAGCUUUUGUCAAAGAAUAUGAAUGCCGCACCACCAAGUUGUAUGUUGCCUUAUUUAGACAAGGUAAACUUUCUCUACCUAACAGUUUUUUUUUCCUUUUGGCGGUUGCAGAGUUUACUUUUCUUUUUCAUUUUUUCAUGUAGACAAUUUGCAAGACUGCAGGGAAUAUUGCAAAGCCUAUUAUCGCUGAACAAAUUCCGAAGUAUAUAAUCGAGGCAUAAGACCUUAUGCAUGGCUGUAUGUAAUGCCAAAUAAAAUAGUUAAGUAUCACUUGCAUAUCAUCCUUGUCUCUCAAAACAAUAAUAAAAUAAAAAAUUUCCUGAAAAACAUCUAAAAGCUAUAUAACUAGAUUUUGACCGCCCAUUCGCCACUGUCAAACGUAAGCUCAAGACUCGCAUAGCUAAGAACUUAACCAUAUGCGAAGGUCUAUAUCUUUGACUUAUAUUAUUAUUUACUAAAUGAUAUAAAUAAAAGAUGAAUAAACCAUAAGGAUAUCAGACAACAGCCAUUCUUUUAAUUUUACUUAUACAGUCCAUCAACUUUUAAUUUUGUCAAGGCAGUAGGUGCAAACUUUAAAGCUGAGGUGCCUUCUUUUAGCAUGUUUUUAACUAGAUUUAGGGCUCCUAGCAUGAGCUCAUGGGCUCAAGUUUUGCUAUAUUUAUCUACUUUAUGUCGUGUUCAUUGUGGCGAGCAUUACCAUGCCCUUUAUCUUAGACCAGCUAACCAUGUCUUAUUAAACAUGAUAACAAUAUCCACCCAAAGGUACGUGAAAAGAAUAUAAGACUCUUGAUAAUCUUUCGGAACUACAAGAACCUUUAUAUGGUGUGAAUACAAAGUCAUCUAAUUGCUAACUAUUAAUAUUUUCCUUUUCUCAAAGAAUAAAGUUUUUAAAUGAUACGACAUUGGCUCACCAACAAUUUUCAAGAAAUCUAGUGAUUAGUUUUCAAAAAAAGAAGAAGAAGAAGAAAUCUAUUAUUAGGGUGAAUUCAAAACACAUAAAAUAAUUAUAAUCAUAUGAUUAUAAUAACUCAAUACAAUUUUAUCUACGGGUAUAUGUAGAUUUUAAUAAAAAAAUAUUAAGACCUUUUCACGGCCACUUCGGAAUACUUGAUUUGGCAUAAUGUUUACUAUAUUAAUUAAUUAUUUAUAAUAAAAAGUCCUCUUAAUUAGAUAACUUCAAAACCAUUAUAUUAAUAAAUUAAAAGUAGAACACAAAAUAAAAGUAUCAAAUGAGGAAGUACAUAUAAUGAGUUUGUUCAUGGUAUCCAUUCAGUUUAAAAACACUUACACAAAACUUAAGACAAUUAUGAAGAACGAUAUAAGCUUGGUACACCGAUAUAUUGAACCCGCAAACCAAGAAAGCACGUGUACCAUGAUCUAAUGAUGAAUAUUAAGCAUAGCCUUAGCCUCACUCUGCUCCUGCAACAAAUUUUCACUAGCAUACUUGUUCAAAUGCUCUAACUACUGAGAUCUUUUCUUUUGUCUCAUUUUUUACAGUAAAGUAAAUCUUUAUACUAUCUUUAUAAGACCUUAAUACAUGUCAUUGAUAAGUGCGUAUUUUUACGUAUUUUAAGUACCUAAUUAUUGCUUGUUCUCACUUAUUUAUUUGUUUAUUUGUCUUUUUUCAGGAAUAUUGCAAAUAUUUGAAGAAAUAAAAGAAUAAAGCAAAAUGGAGAAAAAGAUGGGAAGAAAAAGAUCAGGGGAAUAUUCUCAAGGAAGCAUCUAGAUGGGACACCUACACCCCUCUCUACCCUAAUUUCCCCCUAUAAAUACACAUCUCCCCAUCAUGUUUCAACUUACCUAGGAUUUUCUCUUUUUAGUAGGCUUCUUUUUCUAGUCUAGAUCUAGUUUUAAUUUGUAUGCUCUCUCCCCCUUUUGUAAACACAUUUUAAUAUUUUAAUGCAAGAAUUCAUUUUUGUUCUUACAUUCUUGUUCUUUAGGUUUUCUUUGGCUAUGAAAUCUUCCUCUAACUACAAAAGAAUUCAAAGUUGUUUGUAGAUUGGAAGGAGCCAUUAAUUAGUUGUAGCUUUUUUAUAUUUAGAUUUGAUUUCUGGAAAAAGCUAAAACUCUAGCACAAAAGAUGAUUUGUGUUGGGGUUUAGACUUAAGAAAUUCCAAUAUCAUUAUGUUUUACUUUUAUAAAAUGCAAAAUAGUAGUAUAAUAAAUAUAAUAUUAGUGUUAAAGAGCCUUAUUACAGCCCCCUGCUUAGUUUUAUUAAAAUAAACUACCUACUGCUCUGUUAUUAUUUUUCUUUGUUAAAACCAGUGUUACAGAAAUCGGGAAUCGGACCUAAUCGGUUGAGCUACCGAUUCAAGGAUUAAUCGGAAAUCGGGGACUAAUCGGAAGGAUUAAUCGGAGUUAAAAUCGGGUUUCUUUUAAUAUUAAAAUAUCAUUUAAUAUUUAGUUAUUAUUAUAUUGGCUAUUUAGUAACUAAUAUAUUUACUAUAUUCAUAAACUCUAUAAUUAUUCAUAUUUAAAGUAAUAUAGUAUUUUAAUUUUAAUAAUUUAUCACAUAUACUUCGAUUAUUAAAUAUAUAUAAGGAUUAAUCGGAUUUCAAAAAUCGGAUCGGUGGUCGACCUUGCAGAGGAUUAAUCGGGGAUUUAUCGGUUAAAUCGGGGAUUUUUAGAACACUGGUUAAAACACAUAUACUCCCCUUUUGUCCCCUGUUUUGUAAAAGAAACUCACCCCCUCCCCUGUCUUUUAACUUGUGCUUUCGUUUUCAAAACCCACAUGGAAACCCAUUUCCUAUUUCUUGUUUCUUCUUCGAUUAAAAACCUGCGACCCUCUUCUUUAGCUGAGUCUUUCGUUUUCUGUUAGUAAUCGAGUCUAGUCUGUUAUGCUUGUUGGUUGUCGUCUUUGUUUGCUUUCUUUCGAUUUCGUUUUCGCCGAGUCAAAUGCCUGAGUAGUCAGUCUGUUUCUGGAUUGUAUUUUGCCGAUUUGCAGCGUUUAUUUGUGUUGGUUUUGCUCAGCGUCGAGUCCUGUUGAAUGCUUGUUUUGUUGAGUAUGAGUCGUAGCUGAGUCGCCGAGUUCAGGUGGUCUGUCUUUGUCCUAGUCUGUCGAGUGUUUCAUUGCUUCCUGUAGUCGAGUUUUGGCACCGAGUCGUGUGUUUGCUGCUCCGAUUUGUUGAGGCUGCGUCUUUUGUUUAUGUUGAGGCGGAUUAGAACAAUUAAUUUGUAAAAAGUUUUAAUACGAUUAAUUAAUUAUAAAAAAAAUUGAUUUAAAAUCACCAAUUAAACCAAAAACUAUUUAACUAAACUUAACCAAAGUUUCUCCGUGACAUUGUUUUAAAACAAAGCUGGCCAAAAUACAUUUUACAGAAACCAAAUCACUCAACUUAACAAACUCACUAACUUGGCCACGAAAUUAAAAACCAACGAAAUCAAAAAAAACAAAACAACAAAGCCAGUAAACUAAGAAACCUAGAAUUGACUCGCUGUACCAGAAACAAAAUCACAAAAGAAAUCGCAAACAAACUAAAAAAAAAAAAAAAACUUAAACACGUGACUCAAUCAGCAUUCCACUGGACAAACUCGAGUGAAAAUGCAACAAAAUCAAUGAAUAAAAACUGAACUCUAAAAUCUAAAUUAACAACCCAACUUAGUGAAAAUGACUCAGCUGCAAACUCAGUAAAAAUGACUCGGAACUCUUCAAACUCAGCAUUCAAACUCAACGAAAAACAGAGCAGAUGACAUUACGCGAACUCGGUCACUAACUCGGCACCUUGACUCGAAGCUACUCAGACAACCCAAGGCAAGAGAAUAUUAACAGCAAACAAAAUAACGACGCAGCAAAGAACACGAAAACGAAACCCAGACUGCUACUCGGCUGAACUCGGGAACUGAACAAAACGAAAACUCAGUGCUGCUAUCACAGAAACUUAAAACUCGGUGCGAAUCGGACUCAACUUAGACAUACAAAAUCAAUCUCAGACUCGGUAAACUAGCUACCCUACGACUCGACUCACUGGGACUCAGCAUCAAAACAGAGAAAACGCACAAAAACAGAGUCGACAAAGAACAGACGCAAGAAAAAAAAAAAAAACUAACUAGCUACGAUUCUGUCAAAUACAACCCAGCAACUACAAACACAAAACUCGUGCAGCAACGUACAGAAAAGAACAAAAAUGAAAACAAUGACAGCGGUGAACUCAGUUCCAGACUCGGCUGACUCAGAGCUCGGACACGCAAACAAUGCUAGACUAACAAAAACAGUGUAAAGAACGGAGGUGGGGUUGUUUAAUCUAAACAGGGGAAAGGGGUUUUCGCUUUUAGAAAACAGAACAGUAGAAUAGUAGAUAGUUUAUUUUAAUAAAACGAAGCAGGGGCUGUAAGAAGGCUAUUAACUAUUGUUUUGCAUUUUAUAAAAGUAAAACAGAAUGAUUUUGGAAUUUCUUAAGUAGAGCAUCUCCAAGGGGCUUUCUAAAUGAGUUUUUAACUUCAAAUUUAAAGAGCAAAACAAAAAUUAGAGCUCCAAUGAACUCUUAGAGGCUCUUUAAAAAUUUAAGAGAUCAUCAUCUCUCCUUUCUUUUAAAGAGCAUGAAAGAGCUCUUAACUUCUUUUUCAUGAAUAUAAUAUUUAUUUCCCUCCAACUUUACCUUCAACAAUUCUCUCUUUUUACUUUUUUCUCUCAUUUAUAUGUAUAAAAUAUGAAUAAGGAGCAAGUAUAAAGAGGAGCAUUGGAGUUGAAAUUUUUUUCAAUGUCUUAACUCACUAGGAGCCAAAUAUUAUAUUAUAUUUUGAAGAGUGAUUUAAGAGCAUCAUUGGAGAUGCUCUAAACCCCAACACAAAUCAUCUUUUGUGCUAGAGUUUUAACUUCUUCCAAAAAUUAAAUCUAAAUAUAAAGAGAGCUACAACUAAUUAAUGGUUCCUUCCAAUCUACAAACAACUUUGAACAUUUUGUAGUUAGAGGAAGAUUUCAUAGCCAAGAGAAACAUAAAGAACAAGAAUGUAAGAACAAAAGAUAAAAUUUUGCAUUAAAAUAUUAAAGUGUUUACAAAAUGGGCUCCGUUUCAUUUAUAACCAAUUUGUUCAACCACUUUUCAAAACUAACCAGUUUUUUUUUCGAGCUUUCAAAACUAACCAGGCUAAUUCAUUCGAAAAAUGGCGACCCAAACCAUUUUAAAUUAACUGUACGGGACGCCCUUCCAAAGGGCGACCCCUUCUUCAAUUUGUGGCCAUAUGGGUCGCCCUAUACACGGGCGACCCUGGCUUAUUUUAAAAAAAUAAUUCAAAAAUCGGAA
rnacentral:lncRNA from 1 species